rnacentral:rRNA from 1 species
AUUGAACGCUGGCGGCAGGCUUAACACAUGCAAGUCGAGCGGAGUGAUGGUGCUUGCACUAUCACUUAGCGGCGGACGGGUGAGUAAUGCUUAGGAAUCUGCCAUUUAGUGGGGGACAACAUUCCGAAAGGAAUGCUAAUACCGCAUACGUCCUACGGGAGAAAGCAGGGGAUCUUCGGACCUUGCGCUAAAUGAUGAGCCUAAGUCGGAUUAGCUAGUUGGUGGGGUAAAGGCCUACCAAGGCGACGAUCUGUAGCGGGUCUGAGAGGAUGAUCCGCCACACUGGGACUGAGAAACGGCCCAGACUCCUACGGGAGGCAGCAGUGGGGAAUAUUGGACAAUGGGCGGAAGCCUGAUCCAGCCAUGCCGCGUGUGUGAAGAAGGCCUUUUGGUUGUGAAGCACUUUAAGCGAGGAGGAGGCUACUAGUACUAAUACUACUGGAUAGUGGACGUUACUCGCAGAAUAAGCACCGGCUAACUCUGUGCCAGCCGCCGCAGUAAGAC